rnacentral:lncRNA from 1 species
CAAAAUGGCUUCUCAUAGAACAACACCAAUGUCAGGGUAGGAGCUGAGGAAGAAAAAGUAAAUAAAAAUACACAAAAUCCAAACUUUGUUAUAUGUUCCAUUCAGUGGCCUUAUACAUGACUUACAAAUUUUGUUUGAAGUUUAAUUAUAACUAACCACUAUUUAAUUCGAAUUCACUGCUGGCUGUAUUUCCUGAUUCAGAGUUCCAUAUUGCUUCUAUUGCUGGUUUUAAUUUAUUUGAACCUCAGUCUUCUAAAUUGUCUCUAUUUCCUAUCCAUUAUUUUUUAUUUGCCUAGAGGUACUUGAAAAUGCAUUCAGAAAAAAAAAAUUCUUACUCACCAUUUUGUACAACUCUUCAAAACUCUAGGAUAUGCUACAUAAUGUACAUAAUAAAAGUAGUAAUUUCAACAGAAAAUCAAGAUGCCACUCGAUUUUGCCAUGGAUUUAUAAAAAUGACACAUCAGACAACAGAAGCAUAUGAGAAAAAUUUGCUGGGUAUCUACUCACUUCAAUUCAAACAUUUGAAGAAAUUAUGAAAAUUCCGAUGAGUUUUUAAAGUUUGUGCUUGCUCUGGUGUAGUGUAGCCAUGCAUUGAUCUGUCAUCACAGGUAUGCUUUCAUAAAUUUCCCCU